rnacentral:lncRNA from 1 species
ACUGACCAUUACGUCUGUCUUUCCAGUGGACAAAGGUUUAUUAGGAGAAGGAGACGAGGGAACCAGGAGAUGAGCAACGGUAAAUUCAACUACAAUG